GUGAAAAGAUUAAAAGAAAACAAGAUAAGAAAAAGUAGAAAAAAUAAAUAAAUAAAAUAAACAAACAAGAACAAACAAUGAAGUAACUAGAGGAUGAAAACAAAUGAAAGAAAACGGAAUGAAAGAAAAACGGGAAAGGCGGCGAAUGAAGAGAAUGGGGAAAAUAUUGCAAGUGAGAAGAAAAAAGAAACGAAAAAGAAGAAAAGAAAAAAAAACAGAACAGCAAGAAGAUUAAGUUUAUUAUGAAGCGUGGACGUGACGGGGCGCCGAGAGGGGAGCGGCUUUCCCUACAACGCCCCUAAGUCAGUGGGGACACACGCCUACGCCUCCUACUUCAUCCGGAUCGCCUACCCAGUUAUCCGGACUGCCUAUCAGUUAUCCGGACUGCCUAUCCAGUUAUCCGGGCCGCCUUUUCAGUUAUCCGGAUCCCCUAUUCAGUUAUCCGGACCGCCUAUCCAGUUAUCCACGCCGCAUCGUAACCGGACUCUCUUAACUCGUCCAAUUAUCGAACUUCACUUCUAUUUCUUUUGCAUUUCAUCCUUCUUUCUCUCUCUAUCUCUCUCUCUCUCACCUUUCACCUUUCAUACCCCUCCUCCUCCUCCUCCUCCUCCUCCUCCUCCUCCUCCUCCUCCUCUUCCUCCUCUUCCUCCUCCUCUUCCUUCUCUCUCACAGUAUUAACCAGUAAACUUCUGCCUCUAUAUCAGUAUCUUCCUCUUCCUCCCCCUCCUCCUCCUCCUCCUCCUCUUCCUAGUCAUGCCCCUCGGUAAAGUAAGCAGUGUUGCCAGUCCAGUCACUACCCCUACACAGACAGCAUUGCCAACUCCACGAAAUACCUUACAUUCUCCUUCUCCUCCUCCUCCUCCUCCUCCUCCUCUUCUUUCUUCUCUUCGUUUACCUCCUCCACCUCUUUCCCCUCCUAUUCUUCAUGUUCCUCCUCCUCCUCCUCCUCCUCCUCCUCCUCCAGAUUCUCCUCCUCCUCCUCCUCCUCCUCCUCUUCCUCCUACUCCUCCUCCUCUUCCUCCUCCUCCUUCUUCUUUUUCUCCCCCUCUUCCUCCUCCUUUUUCUCCCCCUCUUCCUCCUUUUUCUUCUCUUCCUCCUCUUCCUCUUUCUCCUCCUCCCCCUCUUCCUCCUUUCUCCUCCUCCUCCAUCUCUUCCUCAUUCUCGUCCUCCUCCUCUUCCUCAUUCUCCUCCUCCUCCUCCUCUUCCUCCUUCUCCUCCUCCCCUAAUUCCUUCUUCUUCUUCUACUCAUCCUUCUUCUUCUCUUCCUCCUUCUCCUCCUCCUCCUCUUCCUUCUUCAACUCCACCUCUUCCUUCUCCUCCUCCUCCUCCUCCUCCUCCUCCUCCUCCUUACUCUUCUCUUCCUCUCUCUUCUCCUUCUUUCUUUCCUCCUCUUCCGUUUUAUUUCUCUUCCAAAUUUGUUUUCCUAUUCCUCCUUCUUACCCUUUCUUACUUUUUGUCCUCCUCCUCCUCCUCCUCCUCCUCCUCCUCCUCCUCCUCCUUCUCCUCCUCCUCCUCCUCCUCUUUCUCCUCCUCUUACUCAUAAUCAUACACCUCCUCUUUCUCCUCCUCCUAUUCCUGGAUCUUCUUUCAUACAAGCUCCACCACCACCACCUCCUCCUCCUCCUCCUCCUCCUCCUCCUCCUCCUCCUCCAUUACCACCUCCACCACCACCACCACCACAGCACACCACCACAACGUGUCUUAUGUGUCAAGAAGAAGUGGAGACAAGAUCCACCACUAGACAUCACCACUCCACCCUCCUCCAGCUCCUCCUCCUCCUCCUUCCACCUGUUGUUUGGCCCCCUCAGGUGUGUCAGGUGUGGAGCAGAGAUACACACCUGCGCAGAUCUGUCACAGGUAAUAGCGAACUGGAAAAGGAGGAGGAAAAUAAAGGAGGAAAAAGAGGAGAAGGAAGAGGAAAGACUGAAUAACGAAAGGGGGGGAAACAAACGGUGUUUACAUUCUUAUCUGAAAUGGUGUCAAAAUCCCAUUAAUUUCCUGAAAAACAAAAUCAGAGAGGGAAAAAAGACGAGGAGGAGGAAAAGGAGGAGGAGAAGGAGGAGGAGAAGAAGGACAGGAUGGAUGAGAGGACAUGAAGAGGGGAAUGCAAAGGGAGAUGGAAACUGUGAGGAAAAAAUGGAGGUAGGGAAAAUAAACAAGGACAGUGAAUAGGAGGAGGGAAAGAAUGAAGAGGAGAUGGAGAAGAAGAUAAAGAACGUUGAAAGGAAAGGAAGAAAAGAAAGACAUGAUUCAGAAAGCAAUGAUAAAGGAAGACGAAGAAUGGAUGAAAGAUGGAAAGGAGAAAACAAACAAUGAAGGAAGGAGAAAGGAGAAAAGAUAAAGAAGAGAAGGAGAGAAAAAGAAAGACAGACAGACAGGAAAAGAGAAAAACACAAACAGAAGAAGAAGAAGAGAGAGACAAAUGUAGGAGAAGAAGGGAGGAGAGGAGAACAAGAAGAGAAAGAGAAAAAGAACAAGAGGAAGGAAAAGAGAAAAAUGAUAACUGCAUAAAAGAGAAACAGAAAAUUGAAAGAAAAAACGAAAAUGAUGAUGAUGAUGAUGAUGAUGAAGAUGAUGAUGAUGAGGAGGAGGAGGAGGAGGAGGAGGAUAGUAAAAUGAAUGAGAAGGAGAUAAUAAGACUCUAUCUCCACGAAUUAAUCUCCUUUGGGCACAAGCAUCCGUGGAGAUCAGCCUUCAGGGAGAUCAAGAGAUACAUGGAGGAGGAGGAGGAGGAGGAGGAGGAGGAGGAGGAGGAGGAGGAGGAGGAAGAGAAGGAGACUAUGAACAAGAUAAACAACGAUAAAGAAAAAAGGAAGGACAGAGAAACAAUAAACAAGAUAACAGUGAGAAAAAGGAGGAGAACAGAGGAGAUAAAGGAGAACAAGAGAACACACAGCGAGGAAGAGACGUCUCCAUCCACCUCAUCUCCACAUUCUCCUCCACAGGGCGUGCCUCAGAUGGUGGUGGAGGAGGCUGUAAUUCCGCAGGUGGAGUGGGAGGUGGACGUAGUGGAGGAGUGAGGAGGAGGAAGAGGAGAAUGUGUUGAGAAAAGGUAUUUGUUUGUUUUUAGGACGCGGAAGAAAACAAGGAACUUAAGGAAUCGAUCAUUGUGGAGGUAAAAUUCCAGUUGGAGGAGGAGGAGGGAGGAGGAGGAGGAGGAGGAGGAGGAGGAGGAGGAGGAAGAGGGGGGGAAAUGUCCAAUUAAACCCCACUGAAGGAGAAAGAAGAAUACGAAGAAUACGAGUGAAAGCGGAGAGAGAUGAAGAAGAAGACGAAGAAGAAGACGAAGAAGAACACGAAGAAGAACAAGAACAAGAAAAAAUAGAAAAUAAAGUAGCAGAAAAUCGCAGAAAGAAAUUAAAAGAAAGGAGAAGAGAGGAAAAACACAACAAUUUACUACGAAGGGGAGAUAAGAAGAUAAGAAUAACAAGCAAACGAGAGGAAAAUAAGAGAAAGGCGAGGAGAAUAACGAUAAGAGAUUACAAUUUACAAAGGAGAGAAAUGCACAAAGGUGAUGAAAGGGAGAAGGAGAGAAGGAAGGGAGAACUGAACUAUAACUUGAGAAAACGAGGAGGUGGGGAGGUGAAGGAAGAGGGAGAUGGAGGAGAUGAAGGAAGGAAAAGAAGUGAAUAUGAAAGAACUGGGGAUAAGAGAGGCGAAGGAAGGAAAGGUGAAAGAAGUGAGGGAAGGAAAACUUAAGGACAUGAAGGAGGUGAAGGAAAUGAAAGAAGUGAAGAAGGAGACAGGACAUGACUUUCCCCUCACCUCACCUGUCCCCUCACCUGCCUCGCGUCACGUCACGCUGCCCACACGCUGGAGAGUUCAUGGCCACGACACACCACAGGCGGGGGAAGCACUGCAGGCGACACACACCACUCACAUUUACGAGCAAGAAAAAUGUGACACUCCUCAUAAUUAUAAACGCAAGAUGGACACUUUCCGGACAUACGAGGGUAACAAAUCGAAAAUUUCCCGCACGUACGAGCAGAAAAC